UCGUGGUUAGCUCAGUUGGUAAAGCGCUCCACUGGAAAUGGAGAAGUCCCUAGUCAGAUACCAGGACCAGGCG
rnacentral:tRNA from 1 species